UCCCUGGAGGACUAGUGGUUAGGCCUCGGCGCUCUCACCGCUGAGGCUCGAGCUCGAUUCCCAGCCAGGGAA
rnacentral:tRNA from 1 species